UACAGAGGGUGCGAGCGUUAAUCGGAAUUACUGGGCGUAAAGCGUGCGUAGACGGUUAUUUAAGUCGGGUGUGAAAGCUCCAGGCUCAACCUGGAAAGUGCGCGCGAAACUGGCGAGCUUGAGUGUCGGAGAGGAUCGCGGAAUUCCGGGUGUAGAGGUGAAAUUCGUAGAUAUCCGGAGGAACACCGGAGGCGAAGGCGGCGAUCUGGAAGACCACUGACACUGAGCAGCGAAAGCGUGGGGAGCAAACAGG
rnacentral:rRNA from 1 species